CCUACGGGUGGCAGCAGUGAGGAAUAUUGGUCAAUGGGCGCGAGCCUGAACCAGCCAAGUAGCGUGAAGGAUGACUGCCCUACGGGUUGUAAACUUCUUUUAUAAAGGAAUAAAGUGAGGCACGUGUGCCUUUUUGUAUGUACUUUAUGAAUAAGGAUCGGCUAACUCCGUGCCAGCAGCCGCGGUAAUCCGGAGGUUCGGAGCGUUAUCCGGGUUUAUUGGGUUUAAAGGGAGGCUAGAGGGGUUGUUAAGUCAGUUGUGAAAGUUUGCGGGUCAACCGUAAAAUUGCAGUUGAUACUGGCAGUCUUGAGUACGGGUGAGGUAGGCGGAAUUCGUGGUGUAGCGGUGAAAUGCUUAGAUAUCACGAAGAACUCCGAUUGCGAAGGCAGCUUACUAAUCUGCCACUGACGUUGAUGCUCGAAAGUGUGGGUAUCGAACAGGAUUAGAUACCCGAGUAGUC
rnacentral:rRNA from 1 species